rnacentral:rRNA from 1 species
UACGGGGGGGGCAAGCGUUGUUCGGAAUUACUGGGCGUAAAGGGCUCGUAGGCGGCCAACUAAGUCAGACGUGAAAUCCCCAGGCUCAACCUGGGAACUGCGUCUGAUACUGGAUGGCUUGAAUUCGGGAGAGGGAUGCAGAAUUCCAGGUGUAGCGGUGAAAUGCGUAGAUAUCAAGAGGAACACCUGAGGUGAAGACGGGUUGCUGGGCCGACACUGACGCUGAGUGCGCGAAAGCCAGGGGAGCAAACGGG